rnacentral:snoRNA from 1 species
AUCAUCAGUAGUGGUUAUACUAUCUCAAUAUAAAGAUAUAUAACUAGUAUUUCCUACGGGAAAUACAACUACCUAAAGACCCUAGUGACAGCUUAAGUACACCACAUUAGUGAUUGUGUGAGUUGGCUGUUCACGUAUCAGCUAAGUGUUUUUUGACCUUUUUAACAGAUUGGCCACAAUUAACACUUCGUUUCCGGUCUUUUAGAAUUAUUUGGCACUUUAAUAAGGUUUGCUAAGUUCUGACAGUU